rnacentral:rRNA from 1 species
CUACGGGUUGCAGCAGUCGGGGAUAUUGCACAAUGGAGGAAACUCUGAUGCAGCGACGCCGCGUGAACGAAGAAGGCCUUCGGGUCGUAAAGUUCUGAUGUGAGAGAAGAAGAUAGUGACGGUAUCUCACCAGCAAGCACCGGCUAACUACGUGCCAGCAGCCGCGGUAAUACGUAGGGUGCAAGCGUUGUCCGGAAUUACUGGGCGUAAAGGGAGCGUAGGUGGUUAUAUAAGUCUUUAGUAAAAGGCAUUGGCUCAACCAAUGUAGGCUAGAGAAACUAUAUAACUUGAGUACAGUAGAGGUAAGUGGAAUUCCUAGUGUAGCGGUGAAAUGCGUAGAUAUUAGGAGGAACACCAGUGGCGAAGGCGACUUACUGGGCUGUAACUGACACUGAGGCUCGAAAGCGUGGGGAGCAAACAGGAUUAGAUACCCGAGUAGUC